rnacentral:rRNA from 1 species
UGCAAGUCGAGCGCGAAAGCUUGAAGACCGAUCCUUUCGGGGUGAAGUUUUCUGCAAGUAGAGCGGCAAAAGGGUGAGUAAUACAUGGGUGAUGUACCCCUGACAUUGGGAUAACUUCGGGAAACUGAAGCUAAUACCGGAUAGUCCAACGUAACCUCAUGGUUGUGUUGGUAAAGGUAGGGAUCCUUCGGGACCUUCUGGUUAGGGAGCGGCUCAUGGGCUAUCAGCUUGUUGGUGAGGUAACUGCUCACCAAGGCUACGACGGCUAGGCGGUCUGAGAGGAUGGCCGCCCACAUCGGGACUGAGACACUGCCCGGACUCCUACGGGAGGCUGCAGUCGAGAAUCAUCCGCAAUGGGCGAAAGCCUGACGGUGCGACGCCGCGUGAGGGACGAAGGCCUUAGGGUUGUAAACCUCUUUCGCCUGUUAAGAAUGUAAUGUUGUGAAUAGCUUCAUUGUUGACGAAAGCAGGUAAAGAAGCACCGGCUAACUCCGUGCCAGCAGCCGCGGUAAUACGGAGGGUGCAAGCGUUAAUCGGAAUUACUGGGCGUAAAGCGCACGCAGGCGGUCUGUCAAGUCGGAUGUGAAAUCCCCGGGCUCAUCCUGGGAACUGCAUUCGAAACUGGCAGGCUAGAGUCUUGUAGAGGGGGGUAGAAUUCCAGGUGUAGCGGUG